GACAGAGGAUGCAAGCGUUAUCCGGAAUGAUUGGGCGUAAAGCGUCUGUAGGUGGCUUUUUAAGUCCGCCGUCAAAUCCCAGGGCUCAACCCUGGACAGGCGGUGGAAACUACCAAGCUGGAGUACGGUAGGGGCAGGAGGGAAUUUCCGGUGGAGCGGUGAAAUGCGUAGAGAUCGGGAGGAACACCCGUGGCGAAGGCGGCCAUCUGGACCAGCACUGACGCUGAGGCACGAAAGCGUGGGGAGCAAACAGG
rnacentral:rRNA from 1 species